UAGGGAAUCUUCCACAAUGGACGCAAGUCUGAUGGAGCAACGCCGCGUGAGUGAAGAAGGUUUUCGGACCGUAAAGCUCUGUUGUUGGUGAAGAAGGAUAGAGGUAGUAACUGGCCCUUUAUUUGACGGUAAUCAACCAGAAAGUCACGGCUAACUACGUGCCAGCAGCCGCGGUAAUCGUAGGUGGCAAGCGUUGUCCGGAUUUAUUGGGCGUAAAGCGAGCGCAGGCGGAAGAAUAAGUCUGAUGUGAAAGCCCUCGGCUUAACCGAGGAAUUGCAUCGGAAACUGUUUUUCCUUGAGUGCAGAAGAGGAGAGUAGAACUCCAUGUGUAGCGGUGGAAUGCGUAGAUAUAUGGAAGAAUACCAGUGGCGAAGGCGGCUCUCUGGUCUGCAACUGACGCUGAGGCUCGAAAGCAUGGGUAGCGAACAGGAUUAGAUACCCUUGGUAGUCCAUGCCGUAAACGAUGAGUGCUAAGUGUUGGGAGGCUUCCGCCUCUCAGUGCUGCAGCUAACGCAUUAAGCACUCCGCCUGGGGGAGUACGACCGCAAGGUUGAAAC
rnacentral:rRNA from 1 species